rnacentral:rRNA from 1 species
AUUGAACGCUGGCGGCAGGCCUAACACAUGCAAGUCGAGCGGAUGAAGGGAGCUUGCUCCUGGAUUCAGCGGCGGACGGGUGAGUAAUGCCUAGGAAUCUGCCUGGUAGUGGGGGAUAACGUCCGGAAACGGGCGCUAAUACCGCAUACGUCCUGAGGGAGAAAGAGGGGGAUGUUCGGACCUCACGCUAUCAGAGGAGCCUAGGUCGGAUUAGCUAGUUGGUGGGGUAAAGGCCUACCAAGGCGACGAUCCGUAACUGGUCUGAGAGGAUGAUCAGUCACACUGGAACUGAGACACGGUCCAGACUCCUACGGGAGGCAGCAGUGGGGAAUAUUGGACAAUGGGCGAAAGCCUGAUCCAGCCAGGCCGCGUGUGUGAAGAAGGUCUUCGGAUUGUAAAGCCCUUUAAGUUGGGAGGAAGGGCAGUAAGUUAAUACCUUGCUGUUUUGACGUUACCAACAGAAUAAGCACCGGCUAACUUCGUG